rnacentral:lncRNA from 1 species
CAACUGAAGCAUUAACCCCUAGAGAAACAUCGACAAAGAGGGAACCGAGGCGUGGUAUUCAAAUUCGGUGAAGCUGUCUCUGUAUGUUGGAAUUUAUUAAACUCAAUUGGUUCUACAUAGAUACACUUUUUCUGUUUGGAUCAAGUUGGAGCUUUCUCCUUUUUGCGGUGUUGAGAAACACCACGGAGUUGGCAGUAUGAGUUGAUUUGGGCUUAAAC